UAAGCCAGGUUGGUUUCUAUCUUAAUUUUAUUAAGAAUUUUUAGUACGAAAGGACCAAAAUUUUAUUAAAUUAAUUAUUUUAGAAUAAUAAUAAUAAU
rnacentral:rRNA from 1 species